UCUCUCUCUCUAUGUUUUUUAUUAGUUAAAAAUUAAAAUUUUCUUUUGUUCUUUAGAGAAUCACCUUCAAAAACUGCAAAUUGCAGUCUUGAGUGGUACCUAGUUAUAAACAAAGAAUUGCAUAAUCAAUGCAUCUAUGAUUUUUUUUGUUUAUAUUCAUUUUGAUUCAGCUACUUUUUUUUUCCCCUUUCAUCUGACUCUUUUAUUUUUAAGUUUUCUGUACACGUUGCAAAGGCUAAGAUCCUUAAUUGACGAAGCCCUACUAGAUACUGAACAGAGAUGAGUUAAGGUCAAGUCUAGGACUUCUAAACCAAGAAAGGAAAUCCAGUCUUCCAAUAUUAAGGGAUUUCUACAUCCUUCUUCCAGAACCUAUUUGCAGCUACAAUUGAUUUUGGAAAGCAAGAUGAAGAAACAGUGCUUUUGGCAAAGUGUUAGCUAACUAUGGGGGUCCUGACUUUCACCCGAGCCGACGCAUGGCCCUACUCUACAUCGGUCAAGGUGUCAUGUCAUACCUAUUGGUUUGCUCAGAUUUUGUGAUGACAGGUUGUGAGAUGAAGUUAUCUCGAUGUCGUUAUAAAAUUACAGGACCCGACUUUCACCCGAGCUGACCCAUGGCCCUACUCUCCAUCGGUCAAGGUUUCGUGUCAUCCCUAGUGCUUUGCUCGGGUUAGGUCAUCAUUUAUCAUCUCAUCAUAUUUUCAUAUCAUCAUGAUCUCAUUACAUCUCCAUCUUCAUAACCAUCAUGAUCUAUCUCGGUAUUGUUUGUUACAUUUUUUGUUGUAGACGUUUAUAUUAUUGUUAUUGUUAAUUUAUUCUUAUUGUGUGGUUGCAAAAGAUUUUGUGAUGACAGGUUGUGAGAUGAAGUUAUCUCGAUGUCGUUAUAAAAUUACAGGUUCGAUCUACUAUUUAG